rnacentral:rRNA from 1 species
UACAGAGGGUGCGAGCGUUGUCCGGAAUCACUGGGCGUAAAGGGCGCGUAGGUGGUGGCUUAAGCGUGCGGUGAAAGCUCGGGGCUCAACCCCGAGUCGGCCGUGCGAACUGGGCUCACUGGAGCAUAGUAGAGGCAGGUGGAAUCCGGGUGUAGCGGUGGAAUGCGUAGAGAUCGGAAGAACGACCGGUGGCGAAGGCGGCCUGCUGGGCUAUGGGCUGACACUGAGGCGCGGACAGCGUGGGGAGCAAACAGGG